UGAUGGCUCAGAAACCCCUCUUUAACCUGCCCUAUAGUCGGGAAUACCCUGGGAAAACUGAGGUUAACACCGGAAAAAAAACUUCUACGGGAAGGUGUUGUUUUUGAAAGUUAACGCUGAAGAAUGAGUUGGCGCCCCAUUAGUUGGUUGGUAGUGUAAGGAACUACCAAGGCAACGAUGGGAAGGGACCCUGAGAGGGGAACCCCCAAGAAGGACACUGAAACACUGGUCCUACCCCUACGGGGGGCAGCAGGCGCGAAACCUUUACAAUGCACGCAGGUGCAAUAAGGGGAUUCUCAUUGCUCAUGCUUCGGUAUGGGUUUUUGCCAAAAGUAAAUAUCUUGACAAAUAAGGGGGGGGAAAGACUGGUGCCACCCGCCGCGGUACCACCACCCCCACGAGUGGCAAUCGCGUUUAUUGGGCCUAAAGCGUUCGUAGCCGGAUAAAUCAUUCUUGUGUAAAAUCGAUGCGCUAAACAAAUCGGCUUGCUUGAAAUACUGUCUAUCUAAAGACCGGGAGGCGUAAAAGGUAUUCUGGAGGGAGCGGUAAAAUGCUAUAAUCUCCGAAGGACCACCUGUGGCGAAGGCUUCUUACAAGAACGGGUCUGACGGUGAGGAACGAAAGCUAGGGAAGCAAACCGAAUUAAAUACCCAAGUAUUCCUAGCCGUAAACGCUGUGAACUAGAUGUUGCACAUUCUUUAUGGUUGUGCAGUAUCGAAG
rnacentral:rRNA from 1 species